rnacentral:rRNA from 1 species
UACGUAGGGUGCAAGCGUUAAUCGGAAUUACUGGGCGUAAAGCGUGCGCAGGCGGUUGUGCAAGACAGAUGUGAAAUCCCCGGGCUCAACCUGGGAAUUGCAUUUGUGACUGCACGGCUAGAGUGUGUCAGAGGGGGGUAGAAUUCCACGUGUAGCAGUGAAAUGCGUAGAGAUGUGGAGGAAUACCGAUGGCGAAGGCAGCCCCCUGGGCCAAUACUGACGCUGAGGAGCGAAAGCGUGGGGAGCGAACAGG